CACGUAGGCGGGUCCUUAAGUCAGAGGUGAAAUCCUGGAGCUCAACUCCAGAACUGCCUUUGAUACUGAGGAUCUCGAGUUCGGGAGAGGUGAGUGGAACUGCGAGUGUAGAGGUAGAAAUUCGUAGAUAUUCGCAAGAACACCAGUGGCGAAGGCGGCUCACUGGCCCGAUACUGACGCUGAGGUGACGAAAGCGUAGGGAGCAAACA
rnacentral:rRNA from 1 species